GGUGAACGCUGGCGGUAGGCCUAACACAUGCAAGUCGAACGGCAGCACAGUAAGAGCUUGCUCUUACGGGUGGCGAGUGGCGGACGGGUGAGGAAUACAUCGGAAUCUACUUUUUCGUGGGGGAUAACGUAGGGAAACUUACGCUAAUACCGCAUACGACCUACGGGUGAAAGCAGGGGAUCUUCGGACCUUGCGCGAUUGAAUGAGCCGAUGUCGGAUUAGCUAGUUGGCGGGGUAAAGGCCCACCAAGGCGACGAUCCGUAGCUGGUCUGAGAGGAUGAUCAGCCACACUGGAACUGAGACACGGUCCAGACUCCUACGGGAGGCAGCAGUGGGGAAUAUUGGACAAUGGGCGCAAGCCUGAUCCAGCCAUACCGCGUGGGUGAAGAAGGCCUUCGGGUUGCAAAGCCCUUUUGUUGGGAAAGAAAAGCAGCAGGUUAAUACCCCGCUGUUCUGACGGUACCCAAAGAAUAAGCACCGGCUAACUUCGUG
rnacentral:rRNA from 1 species